GUUUUCAACUCAAGUGUUUGGUUUCGUGCUGAUUAUUUUUGCAUAUUUGAUGAUUAAUUCUCUGAAUAAGGUCUUCAUCAGAUGAUUCAAGAAUUUUGGGGUUUUAGAUUUUCUGCACAUGAAUUUUAUAAGCUUUAAAAACAUGAAUUUUGAUUAUUUUGUUUCUGCUAUGAAUUCUAAUUCGUAAAAAAUGUUCUUAAGAAAUCUAUUUCGUUCACACAAGCUAUGAAUCGUGGAAAGCGCCAACGCAAAUCUGUCUCACAGGGAGAUGGAGAAUUUAGCUUAUUUUUUUGCCUUUGUCGAAUUUUGCAGACUGAGGUUAAAUGCUUAGGUCAGCUUCAACAUGAGAACUUGGUUAAGCUGAUCGGGUAUUGUUCGGAAUCUAAAAACAGAAUGCUUGUUUAUGAAUUCAUGCCUAAAGGAAGCUUGGAGAAUCACUUGUUCAAGAGUAUGUUUUUUUUUUUAGAUCGAAAUAUCGAAAAAUCGAAAAGUGGUGUGGAAAUAGGAAUUGAUUUGCUUUCGUCUGUAUAGGAGGAGUACAGCCGAUGGCAUGGUGUACAAGAAUGCAGAUAGCGAUUGAUAUUGCGAGAGGAUUGACGUUCUUGCAUAGUUUAAAUGCCAACAUAAUUUACCGCGAUUUAAAGGCUUCCAAUAUUCUAAUUAAUUCGGUACGUUUAAAAGUACUUCAAUUUUUUUGAAUAUAGUGUAUCAUUAGUGAGUUUGAUUCGUGUAGUUAGUGACAUUCUUGAAUCUCUGCAGAAGUUUCGUGCGAAGCUUUCGGAUUUCGGGCUCGCAAGAAAGGCCAUCAUCACCUCAUUCUCAUAUUCCACUUAAUGGUGAUGCUGAAUUUAUGGAGUCUGAUAGUGACGCAGAUGAGGCUUCAUCGACGCCACCUGGAAUGAGUGAGAAAACAACAAAAAAGGGUCGAGGUAGAACAAAAAUGCUCACGUCAUGGGGUAAUGAAAAAUUUGAGGUUCAGAUUAAUGACCCUAAUCAAGCCAUAUGAGAGAAUGCAGCAAAACUCUCGAGCCAAAUGGGCUGUGUAGCAAAGAAUGGCAGUCGAUUUCCUCUUACGGUUACAGAUUGGAGGAAAAUUGGCAAAUAUAGCAAGGAAAUAACUUGGUUGGAGUACAAGGUAAUCUUUCUACUCUAAGUACAUUAUCUUACAUUCUCUCUUUGGUUAGUCAUCAACACCUUAUUUGUUUUUUUAAUAUUUGAUUAUAGGCAAACUUCUCUCUUGAAGAUAAUUUUAAACAUCAGUUCUUAAAGAAGUUGGGCGUAAUGUGGAAGAAUUGGAAAUCGGAGGUAAAAAAAUCUUAUUAAUCUAUGCAGGAGACGGAUGUCGACCGAUUGGCUAAUUGUCCUGACCUUGUGGAAAAAGACUAAUGGCCUACUUUAGUUCAUUAUUGGAGUUCUAGUAGUGUAAAGGAAAUGAGUCUAAAAAAUGCUUCGAACAGAGGUAACCAAAAAGUGCCGCAUAGAACUGAAAAAAAGAGUUAUGCUGUCGUGAGGAAUGAGAUGCAAAUGGAAAACGGUGAAGAUCCUACAUACUAUGACUUUUGGAUGGCGACACAUGUUGGUUUUGCCAAGAGAACAUUGGAUAAGAAGACUUCUAAAUUUAUUGUGUGUUAUUUAUUAUUUAUAUUUUGAUAAUCUUUGUUUUCAAUAAUCACCUUCUAACUAUUUAUAUCAUUUGUAGGGAAAGCUUAAACAAUUAGUCUAGCAGGCCUCAAGUCCAAGAAACUGAUGCGCGAAUUCAACAAUCAAUUUGGAUAAUUAUUUUCAAGGAGUGUGAGGAGUAUUUGGAAAAGUUGAUGGUUGAUGUGAAGUUAAAGUAUCACUGCAGACCAUUAAGGAAGACACUAUAUGGUACAUCGAAGCAAGGAUAUGCAUGCCACUAAUCAGCCAAAUCUAAUUAAUUUCAAAGUUAUUUGUUUUUAAUUUGUUGUUUUUGUUAUAAGUAUUAAUACUUCAAGUUCAAGUGUUGUUUUGAAGAUAUAUUUUGUAAAGUUUGGUAUACUUUUGGAAAGGAAGAGUUCAUGUUUUAAAGAUA